rnacentral:lncRNA from 1 species
CUGAAGCAUGGUAAGCUAGAAGAACAGCUAUGAGAUAUGAAAUUAGAAAAGUGUACAGGAGCCAGAUCAUAUAGGAUUUAGUAACCCAUCCAAGGAUGAUGGGAAGCGACUGGAAGGCUUGGAGCAGAGAGGGGGGUGGUGAUCUGAUGCGCAUUUAAAAGCAUUGCUCUAACUGCUGUUUGGACAAUAGAGCAUAGAGGGAAGGAGUGGGAUCGGAAAGCUCUCUUGAAGGACUAUUACAGGAUCAUAAAGGGGGAGAUGCUGGCAGGUUGGACUAGGGUGAUGGUAGUGUAGGUAGAGAGAAGAGGAUAGACUCAGGCUAUGAUUUGGAGGAAGAUGGGGACAAUGGGACUUGCUGAUUUAUCAUAUGUGAGAGAUGAAGGAAACAGUAAUUAAGGAUAAACUCACUGAGAUGAGAAAGAUUAGAGAAGGAGUGGAUUAGGAGAGGUGAAUGAGGAUGGAAAUCUGGAAUUUUGUUUUAGCCAUGUUAAUUUUGAAAUUUCUAUUGGAAGCCUAAGUGGAAGUGACACAUUGGUAGUUGGAUGCAGAUAUCUUGAAGGUCAGGGCUGGAGGCACAUGUUUGGGCUUACUGGUACGUAGAUCAUUUGAAAGCCAUAGGACUUGAUAAAAUUAUGUAGGAAGGGGGUACAAAGAGAAGAGGCAGAGUCUUGGCUUGAACCCUGAGGUAUUCCAACAUCUUGAAGGCAAGCAGAAGAUGAGCCAGCAGAGAAUGACAAGGAGUCCCUUUUAUAAUACAUGUUAAGACCCUGACGUUUCAAGACAGAGAGGAUUUUAUAAGUGUAAAGAGAAUGAAUCAUUGAAAGUACAUUCAAAAACAUAGAAACAACCUUUUCUGCCCAGCACUACACUGUGGGCUGUAAGACAGAAUAUAACUCCUUUUCCUUUUCAUAACAGCAGCUUACACUUGUAAGUAUGUGAUAGUUUACAAGACAUUUUAGAAUAUAUCAGUUUCUUUUAAUAGUCACCAGUGUGUGGGAGUUAGGUGCCAUUAUCCUUUAUUUCACAUUUUAGAGAGAUUACAUGACUCUCCUAAGUUCUCACUAAAGAUAGGAAGGGCGAUAGAAAUUUGAAUAAAGCAUCUGAUGCCAGUUUCCUCCUGCUCCACUGUCCUUUCCGCCAAUGCAAAUUCUUUAAUUCUGCCUUUGAACUAGCUUCAGGGAUGGCACUGUAUACCUAGGUUAAGUGCAUUACAGAGGACACCACUUUCUAGCUCUUUGUAUCCCAAAGAAAGUGAACAUCUGGGACCUACCUUUCUCAGGCUCAUUAGACAGGCUGCUUCCUAUAUAGGCUACCAUUUUACUUUGUCCCAGAAAACAGUGAACAUUAGCUUUGAGGCACAGGGACUUUGUUUUAAAUUCCGGCCCUGCCAUUCAUUCGAUGUAUGAUAUCACGUACGUCACUUAACUUCUCUGAGCGUCUGUUUCGUCAUGGGUAAAAUGAAGAUAAUGUCAAUCUGUAACAGAUAUUUGCUGAUAUUGCUGCCUUGUACCCAUUCUUUUCCCCCAUUGCACAGUUAUGGAAAAAAUAUCACAAUUUUGUUGUGAAGGUCUCACACCACUCCACCCUUUGUUCUUGUGCUUUAGAUGGAGCUGUCUCUAUCCUUCCCUUCCAGGGUGCGAUACGAGACCUAGGUCAAGGCUAAGCCAAUCUGUACAAACCAGUGCAUUCCAUCUCUAAGGCUUUGAUGAUUGGCUUACAGCUGGUCACAUGAUCUAAGUCAGGUCAAUCAGAACCAGGAAAAUUUAAAGCUGGUAUAUCUUUGGUGAGCCGAUGGAAGAAAUAGAUUGUCUUCUCUGCUGGAUUGGGUGCUAUAUUUGUGAGUUUGAGAGUGACCACAGGGACCCUGAGAAUGCCGUCUAUAUGAAAGAUGCAGAUUGAGAAAAAGAUUCCAGGAAUGUCAUUUGAGCCCUUGGUCGAGCCAUAUCUGAAGCCGCUGGAUUCUACCCUGGACUUGCAUGCAAGUUAACCAAUCUUCUUUCUUGUUCAAGCCAGUCUGAGUUGGGUCUCCUGUCACCUGCAAGUAUAAGAGUUUAAAUUGAUAAAAUUAUCUUGAAUGGUUGUAGCAAGGAUAAAAUUAAUAAAUAUAAAAAGAACAAAUCCAAAGGAGACUCUCAGUAAAUAGAAGCAAUUAUGGCAAUUUCAUCUUCAGUUUCCUUUAAAUGCUACACCCUUCCCAUAACAGCGAUUGAGUAGUCUCAGAAAUUGAAAACUAUAAAGGAAUCUAAGCAUAACCAGGUGCUGCAGAUUUGUGUAUUUUCAAAAGUUCACAGCAUCAAGCCAAAAUGCCAGUUACUCUGACGCAGACUAAAUAUUCAUCAUCAGAAGAACGCACAUGGAACACACACAUGCAAACGUACAAGACUGUAAACAUCCAUCCUCAUCUCCAAUGAAUGUUUUGGGGGUGAAACUAAUCUUGAUUCUCCAAUUGGGGUCAUGACCCAGACUUGGCUAAUGAGAGAACAGCAUCCUCCUGGCUCCUCCUGCUUCAGAGAUGAAUGUGAUCCCAAGAGGGAAGCGAAAGGAGUACCUGCAAGUUCUCCUGAAACUUUCAGGAUCACUGGCUGCCAUGUCAUGGAUACACCCAGGAAGUUUCUGGUUAAACCCACAUAUGCAGAUGCGAGACACACAAAUAACCAUGUGAGUAUACUUGGAAGUGGACCUUCUAAGACUGCCAACAGCUGUGAGAAUGAGCUUGGAAAUGAAUUCUCCAGCCCCAGGUAAGCCUUGAGAUGAUUGUAGCCAACAUUGACAGCUUCACUGCCACCUCAUGAGAGACCCUGAGCCAGAGGUGUCCUGUGGAGCAGAGACCAGAUUCUGCACCCCUAGAAACUAUGAGGCACUAAGU